UUUUAAUCGGGGAGCAGUUUGGACUGGAGGAGGAGACUGACGAGUGGAGGAGGCGCUCGAGUCCGGCGGUGGCCCUGCUGUCUGCAGCUGUGCGCUGUGAACAUAGAUGGUUCACUGAGCACCAAUGCCGCCAAUACUGCCUACUGCUCACUCGUGUCUGCGGUAGGGAACAGUGUUUACCACCGUCACCACUUCAAGAGUGCCGCAAGGGCGCCGCCCCGUCGCCGUCGUCUGCAAAAGCGCGCGCACGUAUAAUGCUCACUCGCUCAAAGCAGCUGUCGGGUGCGUGACAGAAACCGCAAGCGUAAACAACCUGAUGCAAGCUGCGUCGUUGCAGCGAUAUAAGUAGCAGCAAUGUCAAAAAAUGCUAAGGAUAAGGAGAAGCCCCUGGAGAGGAUAAAGUCGUUGUUCGGGCUUGGCAAAGCGUCUUCGCCAGUGGUGCCUCGGCUGGAGGAGCAUGCCAUCGACCUCGAAGUACUGAAGGAACUGGGCAGCGACUGCGCCGUGGCACAGCGCCUGAAGGUGAUCAAGGAACUCACGGAGGUGGUGCGCUCCCGGAGACUGGCGCAGGGAGCGGCAGAGAGCCUGUAUAGCCUGACUUGUGACCUGCUGAACCCAGCUCACGGCACCGAGGUGCGCCAUGUGGUGCUUAACUUCUACUGCACCUUGGUUCGAGCCCAGCGGGACCCACUCGACAUCAUAAGGGCUCACUGCUUCAACCUGGUGUUGGACUUGUCACUGCCCGAGGACUUGCCCCUAAGGUUGGAGCUGGUGCGGGCACUGACAGACAAUGGAAAAUGCUUGAACCUUUUUGAGGAACAGGCCGGUGCAUUUCUUGUUCGGUGGAUGCCUGAGGUUUUGAGUGCUGGCAGGGCACAAGAGCUGCUGCCUCUGCUUGUGACCGUGGUGCGCUUCAACUCGUCUUUCCUCGACCGGACCACCAUCAUGGGAUUUGUGCAGAACACCUGCAUCCUGUGCUGCCGCACCAAUUCAGAGCUAGAUGUUCAGCUGGGUUUGGAGCUGCUGGACAGCGUGGUGGGCUAUGGUAUGGUCAGUGCAGAGUUGCUCGGCCACCUGGUGCCUACAGCUUGCCGCACAGUGGUGGUGGCACCCUUCUCGGAGCCUAGCUGGCGACUGAUGCGCAACCUGUUGGGCACCCACCUGGGUCACCGCACCAUUGGCUAUCUCUGCCGCUUGCUCGAGGACAGGUCCAACGUGUGCGACACCAGUCUGCUCAAAGGGGCAGUGUUCUUUGUGGGCGCUGCCCUGUGGAGUCCGAAUGCAGUCAGCUCGUUGCAUCAUAAGGCAGCGGGCGUGCUCCCUUCACUGGGCCGGGCAGUGGACAGUGACAGGGCUCAUCCGUCUGUUGCCUACGAGGCAGCUGUAUGCCUGCAGUGGUUGCUGGGGGAGGGCGCACCCCCGCUUGGGCCGGUCGCCUGGGAUGCCAUUCUGAACCUUCUGGCCACUCUUCUCACUUUCCCACAGGGCCAAUCUGGUGGACGGCAGCUGCAGCAAAUGGCUCAUGAGCUGCUAACACGUGUGGAGCUGUUGUAUGACCAGGGCACCUUUGAGGGCAGUGCCGCACACCUCUUUGAGCUGGUAGACCAAGCGGCACCACUUCGUCCCGAAACAUCACUGCUGCGACUAGUGGAGUUUCGAACCCGACAAGCAGAGCUGUUCCCUCUGCACUGGGCAAGCCACAUGGCAGAGCUUCUGGAGCGGUUCUUGAACCCCAAGAUGGCAACGCCAGCUGUGCGACUGCACCUCCUCGAUCUCCUUGCUAGCCAUCGGCAUCUCUGUGAGGCAGAUGAGCUGGUGGAAAAAGUGCUGCUGCCGCACGUGUCUCCACUCGAGACGGAGCCUGCCGUGGCUGCCCGUGCUGUACGUCUUCUGGCUGACGUGUUGUUGCGGGAUGACCUGUCCAGCCAGCACACAGCUGAUCUGCUUGACCUGCUGGGAAAGGUGCUGGUGCGUGAUUGGCUACCUGCGGAGUUGGUGGCACUUGAGGCUGCUGUCGAGGGCCUCUGUCAUCUCUUCCAGGCACAUGUGUUCGAUGGACAGCCCACAGUAGCAGUGUCAGUGCUGCAUCUCCUGUCGCAACACCUGCAGCAGCAGUGCCAAGAAGGGAGCCCGCCGGCUGAGCUGGCUCCACUGCGGCUGCGGUUGGUCCAGACAAUGGUGGCAUUGCGCACGAGUGCCCUCUAUCAGGUGGGCCUGUGCGAUCCUGCUACAGGGCAGGUGACCUUCAGCCGACAGCUUACCUGCACCUUCAGGGAAGGCUCUCCUUGUGGCAGCUCAGGAAGUGUGGCGAGUGCGCAGCAGCUCUGUUUCCGGGAGGCCAUGGAUGCCUUGCUGUGCUGCUUACGAGAGGAGACUGAUGGGUCUGUGCUGAGCACACUGCUACGAGGGCUUCCAGGCCUGCUGCGGGACCGGGCAGUGGUGUUAUGUGGCCAGUUUUCCCUGCGCCGUCUCUCUAGUUGGCUUUACACCCACGUGGCCGGUGAGCGCCAGUUGUUGGACAAGGUGCGUGCUGCUGGUGGGGAGGCCCUGCUCUAUCCAGUGGCCAGUGCAUUGGUGUUAUACCGAGAAGAGUUGGAUGCUCAAUCGCCACGCUGGCUGCUGCACGUGCUGGAGUCGGGGCUUGCCUGCAAGCCUGCGGCAGCGCUGUGCCUCCGAGCACUUGCCCUGGCAGCCUUGGAGUUGCGACCUGCCAUGGCCAAGGUGCUGCCUGACCUGCUACAGCGGCUGGCUCAGCUGUCGCCCACUGUGGCAGUGUCGCUGCCCGUGCUCGAGUUUCUUGCCUGCCUAAUCCGUGUGCCUCAGCUGUACGCCAGCUUUGUGGCUGCCCAGUACCGUAAGGUGUUUGCCAUCGCCCUGCCGUAUACCAAUCCUGCAAGGUUCAGUGACGUAGUGGUGGCCCUGGCCCACCACUUGGUGGCACUGUGGUUCCUCAAGUGCCGCGUCGCCUUCCGCAAAGACCUUGCACCUUUCAUAAUGAAGAACCUGCGUGCCCAGCUGGAGCCUGGUGAAGAGGAGAAGCGAGACCCUGCAGUGGUGAAGCUGCAGGAGGAGCUGCUGGCCACACUGGGUGACCUCGUGGCCCAAUGCAGCUUUGGCAGCUGUGGGGCACAGCCACGGCGCUCGGGUGCAGCGGCAUUUUUGCUCGAGCAAGGAUGUGCACAGAGCUGGCUGCUGCCUGGACACCGGCUGGUCACCAUCACCACCAGUGGCUGUUCAGGCCGUCCAGCCCGCCAGGGCCUUUGUGACCGUUGUGCACUCUUCUGUCAAGAGCCAGCACCUGUGCAUGGGGAGGAAAUGAGUGUGCAGCAGCAGCAGCAGUACCCCCUGCAGCAGCAGCAGCAGCAGCAGCAGCAGCAGCAGCAGCAGCAGCAGCGACGAAGGCAUCAGUCAGAAGCUGCAGGUCGUGCAUCUGGGUUACGUCGCCUGCCAGUAACUCAGGAUGACCUUAGCCUUGAGCGCCGUGGAGGUGGUGGCCGAGCAGGGCUGGUGCUGCGUCAUGUGUGUGGGUGCUGGUGCUGUGGCUGGGCUGAGGUGCUGGUGCGACGGCCUACGGGCAACACUUCCUGGCUGCUACGCCUGCAGAAUGACCUGUUUCCUCGUGCAGCCACCAGCACUGAUUUCCCUCUGCCAGAUGUGGCGGCCAUCUUUCGUUGCCACCUAGUGGACACAAACGAUGAGGCAGCAAGUCGUGCUGCCAGCAUCAGUGAGCGGUCUCCAUUGCGUCGCACUAACUCAAGUCCUGAGGUGCCUGCUCAGGAUUUGCCUCGGUGUGAGCGGUAUGACAGCAUUCCAGAAGAAAGCCAGCCGCAACGUCCACCACCAGACUGGGACAGCAGGAGCCACUCUGCUAGGAGAAGCCUGGAAGGCUGGUCCCAUGCAGCAGUGGCCCCUGCUAGCUGCUACCGGGACAGGGGCCACACGGUGUCUGGAGUGAGCCCGGCCUCGGACAGUGGAGCCACUACAACCACCGCCUAUGUGGACAUCUAUCGUUCUGGCAUGAAUCCCAGGUUUGUGUUCCUGCACCUGUUCCGGAGCCUUGGACAGGCAGAGAGGGCCCUGCCACUGGCAGAAUCGGACGUGGAGCGAUCUGUGGGAGUGUUCGAUCACAUUCUGACCUAUGAGACGCACAAGAUGGGUCUCCUGUAUGUCGGACCGGGGCAGUCUGGCCGUGAGCAGUGCAUUCUGUCCAACACGCACGGGUCUGUGCGCUACACUGCACUGCUGCUGGGGCUGGGCUCGCUGGUGCGCCUAUCUGAGCUGGACCCGCGUCGCACAUACUUGGGGGGCCUGGCCUGCACGGGCGAGGAUGGCAGCCACUGCCUCUGCUGGCAGGACGACGUCACCCAGGGCAAGCAGCUCCAUCACCUCCCUCUUUUCCUUCUCCUCCUGCUCGCCUGCCAGCUUCCUUUGCAACUGCUUGUGGAUGUCCUGUGGUGGUGUUCCAUGUGGCCACGCUGAUGCCUAAUGUAGAAAACGACCGGCAACGAGGAAACAAGAAGCGGCACAUCGGCAACGACUACGUGCACAUUGUAUACAAUGAAAGCAGUGAGCCAUAUGACCUGGCGACCAUUCGGGGGGACUGUCACUGUGUGUGUGUCGUUGUGCAACCACUCAAGCUGGGCCACAACUUGGUGUCUCUGGUGGGAAAGCCUG
rnacentral:misc_RNA from 1 species